GUGGUACUCCCUCCGUCCCAAAAUAAGUGUCUCAACUUUGUAUUAACCUUAGUAUAAAGUUGUACUAAGCUUGAGAGUUGAGACACUUAUUUUGGGACGGAGGGAGUAGUAU
rnacentral:pre_miRNA from 1 species